rnacentral:rRNA from 1 species
AUUGAACGCUGGCGGCAUGCCUAACACAUGCAAGUCGAACGAGUGGCGGACGGGUGAGUAAUGUCUGGGAACCUGCCCGAUGGAGGGGGAUAAAUACUGGAAAAGGUAGCUAAUACCGCAUACCAUCGGAUGUGCCCAGAUGGGAUUCGGUAGUAGGUGGGGUAACGGCUCACCUAGGCGACGAUCCCUAGCUGGUCUGAGAGGAUGACCGGCCACACUGGAACUGGGAAACGGCCCAGACUCCUACGGGAGGCAGCAGUGGGGAAUAUUGCACAAUGGGCGAAAGCCUGAUGCAGCCAUGCCGCGUGUAUGAAGAAGGCCUUCGGGUUGUAAAGUACUUUCAGCGAGGAGGCGUUACUCGCAGAGAAAGCACCGGCUAACUCCGUGCCAGCAGCCGCGGUAAUUC